GACGAACGCUGGCGGCGUGCUUAACACAUGCAAGUCGAACGAAGUGGCGAACGGGUGAGUAAUACGUGGGUAACCUGCCCUCCUUUUUGGGAUAAGCCUUGGCAACGGGGUCUAAUACCGCAUAACGGGGGAUGGGCUCGCGGCCUAUCAGCUUGUUGGUGGGGUGAUGGCCUACCAAGGCGGUGACGGGUAGCCGGCCUGAGAGGGGGAACGGGCACAUGGAGACGGGGAUACAGCCCAGAGGCCGAAGGGGUGGAGCAGUGGGGGAGAUUGCAGAAUGGGCGACAGCCUGAUGCAGCGAGGCAGAGUGAGGGAUGAAGGGCUUCAGGUUGUAAACCUAUAGCGGUAUCAAACGGGUAGGUAGACAAGAAGCGCCGGCUAACUACGUGCCAGCAGCCGCGGUAAUUC
rnacentral:rRNA from 1 species